UCUCUAUCAAUAUGAUGCAGAAGAGACAACCAAAGUUGAUCACCAAUAGUUACCAAAGUCAUGGAUCUACAUGGAAGAGGAUGGACUUGGACCUGUGCUGCCUAGGAUCGUAAGCUUCUCUUCAAGCUGUGGCAAAGAAUGAAUAUGGACCAAGGUGGCAACUACCACAAGAUGUCGGAGUGAGUUCCAUCUACCGUCAAUUGAGCCUUGUCACUUACAGUGGAAACAGAGUGGAGUAAGGGCGUGAACGACCAGUUCUCCAAACAAAGAUGGUGUUAAGAAUGGCAAGGCCAAGCGAGAUGGACUAUAAGCCUGUAGAACUCCUUGAGUUCAGCUUAGAGCUUGACUCGCCGAAGGUGACUGUCUCUCUUUCGUUCGACGAAAAGGACCAUCAAUUACUCUGAUGUGGCUGCUUUAGCACAAUACGCUCUGGGAACCUGUAGCUUGGAUUAGAGUACAAGCAAAAACAUGGACAAGCGGACC